CCAGCAGCCGCGGUAAUUCCAGCUCUCCUAGUGUAUGCAAAAGUUGCUGCAGUUAAAGCGCUCCUAUUUGGCAAUCGGAUAGAUCCGAGGUGCCGGGCUUCGGCUCUGAGCACCCUAGGUCUAUCUUUAGGGUAUUCUUAAUACCCCAGUUACCAUGAGAAAACUGUAGCGCUCAAAGCAAGCAUAGCUGAGCAUUUAAGCAUGGGAUAACAAGCCACGACUCCACGUGCGCUGUUGGUCCGUUCGGAGGAGUAAUGAGUAAGAGGGGCAGUUGGGGGCCUUAGUACGAUGGCGCCAGAGGUGAAAUUCCGAGACCGCCGUCAGACUACCUGCAGCGAAAGCGUUGGCCAAGGAUGCUUUCAUUAAUCAAGAACGAAGGCAAGGGGAUAGAAGGCGAUCAGACACCACCGUAUUCCUUGCCAUAAACGAUGCCGCCUAUGGAAUUGAGAGGGCUGUAGACCCUCCCAGCGCCUUUUCUGAAAGGAAAGUCUUCGGGCCCUGGGGGGAGUCUGGUCGCAAGGCUGAAACUUAAAGGAAUUGACGGAAGGGCACCACAAGUCGUGGAACCUGCGGUUUAAUUUGAGUCAACACGGGGCAGCUUACCAGGGGCCGAGCACAGUGGGAUGGACGCAUUCGAGGUGCUUCUUGAUUUGUGCAGUGGUGAUGCAUGGCCGUUCUUAGUUCGUGGGCUGGCCUGUCUGCUUGAUUGCGAUAACGAACGAGACCCCUACCCAUCAGAUGAUCAAUUAAGAUACCUGAAGGGACAUCGUCUGCAAGGACGAGGAAGUAGGGGGCCAUAACAGGUCUGUGAUGUCCUUAGAGAUCCUGGGCUACACGCGUGUUACAAUGGCAGUGGCACUGAGUUGCAUUAUCGAAAGUUAAUGCUAAUCUGUGAAACGCUGCCGUGGUUGGGAUUGACGCUUGGAAUUGCGUCAUGAACGAGGAAUGACUAGUACGUGGGCGUCACCAACGCCUACGGAUUACGUCAAUGUCC
rnacentral:rRNA from 1 species